CCCAUGGUUCCAUUACCUGUUUGCCCACCCCUACUCGUACGCACUAAAACAACUACAUGUUUUCACUUCCUUUGGAGAAACAUAAUUAAAUGAUAUUAAGUUAUAAUUGGUAAAAAUGGUAUCAAAAUAAUACAAUAUUCAAAUUAGUGUAAAAAUAAAAUAAAAAAUAAUUAUCUUUCUCUUGUUAACAAAUCCCUCGUGAUUUGUAAUUAGUAUUAUGGUAUAGUGAUAUUUUUUAUUAUUUAUAAGUGAGGUCUUAUGUUCGAUUCUUGCCAAAGACAAAUCUAAACAUAUUAUUGCUAUCCCAUUAUGAGGUUUAGCCCACUCUCCUACCCCCUUAGUGUAGAUAAUGUUCGUUAAAAAAAAUAAAAACAAAUCCCUUAUGAUUUAUGAUAAAAAAAAUUAAAUAAAAACAGUAGACAAAAUUAAACAAAAGUAUAAAUGAAUAGAAAAAUGAUAUGCGGUUGUCAUUUCUUCGUAAAAUAUCAAUUAACCUAACUUACUUUGUAACAUUUAAAAUUUUGUUUUGUUUUGUUUUUUGUCAUAAAUUUGAAGUUUAAAAAUAUAGAAUAUGGAAA
rnacentral:lncRNA from 1 species